rnacentral:rRNA from 1 species
GACGAACGCUGGCGGCGUGCCUAACACAUGCAAGUCGAACGGAAAGGCCCUGCUUUUGUGGGGUGCUCGAGUGGCGAACGGGUGAGUAACACGUGAGUAACCUGCCCUUGACUUUGGGAUAACUUCAGGAAACUGGGGCUAAUACCGGAUAGGAGCUCCUGCUGCAUGGUGGGGGUUGGAAAGUUUCGGCGGUUGGGGAUGGACUCGCGGCUUAUCAGCUUGUUGGUGGGGUAGUGGCUUACCAAGGCUUUGACGGGUAGCCGGCCUGAGAGGGUGACCGGCCACAUUGGGACUGAGAUACGGCCCAGACUCCUACGGGAGGCAGCAGUGGGGAAUAUUGCACAAUGGGCGGAAGCCUGAUGCAGCAACGCCGCGUGCGGGAUGACGGCCUUCGGGUUGUAAACCGCUUUCGCCUGUGACGAAGCGUGAGUGACGGUAAUGGGUAAAGAAGCACCGGCUAACUACGUGCCAGCAGCCGCGGUGAUACGUAGGGUGCGAGCGUUGUCCGGAUUUAUUGGGCGUAAAGGGCUCGUAGGUGGUUGAUCGCGUCGGAAGUGUAAUCUUGGGGCUUAACCCUGAGCGUGCUUUCGAUACGGGUUGACUUGAGGAAGGUAGGGGAGAAUGGAAUUCCUGGUGGAGCGGUGGAAUGCGCAGAUAUCAGGAGGAACACCAGUGGCGAAGGCGGUUCUCUGGGCCUUUCCUGACGCUGAGGAGCGAAAGCGUGGGGAGCGAACAGGCUUAGAUACCCUGGUAGUCCACGCUGUAAACGGUGGGUACUAGGUGUGGGGUCCAUUCCACGGGUUCCGUGCCGUAGCUAACGCUUUAAGUACCCCGCCUGGGGAGUACGGCCGCAAGGCUAAAACUCAAAGGAAUUGACGGGGCCCCGCACAAGCGGCGGAGCAUGCGGAUUAAUUCGAUGCAACGCGUAGAACCUUACCUGGGUUUGACAUGGAUCGGGAGCGCUCAGAGAUGGGUGUGCCUCUUUUGGGGUCGGUUCACAGGUGGUGCAUGGCUGUCGUCAGCUCGUGUCGUGAGAUGUUGGGUUAAGUCCCGCAACGAGCGCAACCCUUGUUCACUGUUGCCAGCACGUUAUGGUGGGGACUCAGUGGAGACCGCCGGGGUCAACUCGGAGGAAGGUGGGGAUGACGUCAAGUCAUCAUGCCCCUUAUGUCCAGGGCUUCACGCAUGCUACAAUGGCUGGUACAGGGAGUGGCGAGCCUGUGAGGGUGAGCGAAUCUCGGAAAGCCGGUCUCAGUUCGGAUUGGGGUCUGCAACUCGACCUCAUGAAGUCGGAGUCGCUAGUAAUCGCAGAUCAGCAACGCUGCGGUGAAUACGUUCCCGGG